AGGAAGGAAGGAAGGAAGGAAGGAAGGAAGGAAGGAAGGAAGGAAGGGAGAGAGAGAGAGAGAGAGAGAGAGAGAGAGAGAGAGAGAGAGAGAGAGAGAGAGAGAGAGAAAGAAAGAAAGAAAGAAAGAAAGAAAGAAAGAAAGAAAGAAAGAAAGAAAGAAAGAAAACAAAGUAUAAACAGUGACUUCCUAUUACCAAAGGUCUUCACAGAGAAUCUUCAUGGCCACCUGUCAGGCAUGUUGUUAAGGGCAUUCUUCAAUUACUGUUUGAACCUUUAAGGUCUGUACAAUUUUAAAAUUGGCCCCUUGUAAUCCUCCCCAAGAUUGAAAAGCACGCUCUGGAUGGGGAGGAAGGAAGAUAAGGGAAGGGGAGAAAUGGAGGGAGAGGUAUCAUGUCAUUCUGGCACUUGGUGUCUUUUAUCUGUAGGGUUCCGUGACCCAUCAGGGAACAGCUUACACUGCCCUCAGGAGACAGGACCUUUACAGGCAUCCAAGUCCAGUGGCAAUAUAAAAAGGCAGCAUGAUUGGUUAUGGCCUAGGAUGUAGUGGAUGAUUUUGACAUCUUUGAUGUCUGACCAUGUUAAAUGCUUGACAGAGCCUGCUUCUGCUGCCUUAAAGGCCAUUUGAACAAAUUGUUCUCAUCUGCGCAGUCAGCUGAGGAACUGAUAUGGUUACUACUUAUCAACUAAUCGCUAAAUCCAGUGGCUUCUUCUCAAUCCUCCUGCUUGAUUUUCUCAAUAGCUUUUGACACUGUUGAACACCAUAUUCUCUUCUCCCUUGACUUCUGUGAUUUUGCUUUCUCCGAAUUCUUCAGACUAUCUGGUGAUGUCCAU